rnacentral:lncRNA from 1 species
AGAUUCCCCCUUCUAUGUCUCCAAGACAGAAGAACAGCAAAAUAUGCCUGGUCUAACCUCGAAGGAUGCGAGAGCUAAGAGGAGCAGGCCCUGACCUGGAUCCGACCCUACGGGUCCCUUCCGAGAACCCUCACCAGGUGUACCGUAACCCUGAGGAUCCAACCUUGCGCACCCUGGACUUCAGAGAGCCUCCACGGGUGAAUCCUGACCUGGCAGGUGCGAAUCCUGAUGGGUCUGAGUUCUCCAAGGGAACAAUAAGUGACUCAGCGCGCCCCUUUCUCUUUCAAUGUCCACUGUCCUGGGGUCUCAUCAUUGCGUUCAGGUUUGCAGUCUUGAUUUUCUAGAAGGACUAAGUCCCUUACUUAACCACAUCUGGCUCCUGGCUGGAAGGUUGCAGCUGCCACACAUGCACCAUGGGUGGGAGAGGUCAGGAUACAUGGGCCGCUCUGCAGAUUUCAGACAAGGUGAUCCGCUAAGAGUGCCUCUUAAACCCUUUCCAGGUUACAUGCCCUGUGGGCCUCAGGGACUCCUGUCCAAUAAGCCCUCAAGCAACACCACUCAUUUGACAAUCCACUAAUUUGGCCAUAUUCUCAGUCGGCACAGACCUUUUUUAGAUACCUCCUUUUCUGGAGUCAAAGGUUCUGAGCCACAAGCCUGCCUUUCGCUCCUAGACUCAGCCCUGGAGAGGACUUUCUCCACUGCCCGCCCCCCCAUUUGAGCCCUUGAGCCACCUUUUGUUGCCUCAUCUCCCCUCCUGCCCAGUAACCUCGGGAUCAGAAACUCCCUUGGGUGUUUUUGGGCUUCCACUUCUCUGGCUUCUCCACAUCCUGUAAGAGGGUCAUGUUGCUUUCUAGAAAGUUCUCCCUGUAACUGUGGCUUUCAGAAUGGGUACUCACAACCUCCCUCCCCAUUUCCAGCCCCCAGACCAGUCCUCUGCGGCCCAAGUCUCCUAUGUCUGUGUCCUCUCCUCCACCUCAUACCUGCAGAUCAUCUAGUAAAGAGCCGAGGCCCCUCUAGGGAAUCCAGUCCAGCACCAGUCUCUCUCAUCUGGAACACAUGUGGUUUCUUCUCUGUCACCCACCGCCCUUCCUCAGAACUCCCAUGGGCCUUGGGUCAGUUCCUUGUUCAGUUGUUGUCCUUCUCCAGGACUCCAUGUCUAUUUAGGGGACAUUGGAUCUUGUGCCCCAACCUGUGGGUUCCCUCACCGGUGAGCUGGCCCACCCUCCAGUGAUUCGUAGGCAGACCCUGCUUUGUACAUGUCUAUAAGAUCCACAGGAAGACCCUGCCAGGAUUUGGGGACAGGGAUACUCCCCGGGGCUCUGUCUUCUGUGCCCCUAUCUUCAGAAGAGUCCACCAGAAAUCCUGACAGGGAGCUGCCCUUUUCUGUUUUGAUCCAGGCAAUGGCCAGAAGGCAAAGGUUAGAAGGCAAAGACCUGUUUGUUUCCGCCGCCCAGUGGGGGCCGCUUGUGCAAGGCUGAGGGAUAGAUACAGCUCCUCCUUCAUCUCCCUGGGGCACAGGCUGGAGGAUUGUGCUCCACAGCAAAGGUCUGCCCCUCUGUGACCUGGUAAUGAGACUUAGGGAUGAGGGGUGCCAGGAACUGCACCAGUGUGGCCCUGGGCUGGAGGUGCUCAGCCUAUGGUGGCCAGGGCAGAGUGGGAGCAGGCACUGGUCUGCAGUUGCCUCUGUCUAGGUUCUGUGGCUCAGCUGGGCUUCCUGCACCUCAAGGUGCAUUCCCUGGAAGAUGGAGGUCUUUCCUUUCAUAAGGACCUUACCCCCGACCUUGUUUUCUUGUGGACAGACUGGGGAGAGGGCGGCAGAACAAGGAAGCUUUGAGAGCAUGGGAGGGCUGGGGGCAAUGUGGCCGGCCCCUGGUGGGCUCUCUGCUUACUUCCCUAAAGCCUCUGCUCACACCUCAUCAGGUUCCUGGACCUGUUGGUGAUCCCUCAGCGACUGCCAUCUGAAAUCCAGUUUGGGGGCUGGGGAAAGGCUCAGUGACUAAGAGUGCUUUCUAUGUACGUAUGGAGACCUAAGUUUGGAUCCCUGCACGCACACCAAAAAGCAGGCAAAUGUGCUUGCUGCCAAGCUGGAGAAACUGAGUUUGAUCCUUGGAACCCUCACGGUGGAAGAAGAGAGUUGACUAUUGGAGUUGGCCACUAUAGAAGGCACAGACCACACCCCAACACAUACAUAACACACAUACAAUAAAGAAAUAGAAGUCAAGUUCUUAAAUUAAAUAGGAAUUUAAUUAGCAUAAGCAUGGACAGAGUCUAUGGGAGCACAGACUCCUCAGCCUAACCCUAACCCUAACCCUAACCCUAACCCUAACCCUAACCCUAACCCUACCCUCGUCUGCCUUUGGCAAGCUUCCUAUUAGGUUGAUGUACCAGAGGUCCCUGGGCUGUUUGUUCCCACAGCAGCCUGGGGCAUUUGCCCUAUAACAAGAACCCUGAAUAAAAUGCUUCUGCCUCUUGA